UGGGGAAUUUUGGACAAUGGGGGCAACCCUGAUCCAGCCAUCCCGCGUGUGCGAUGAAGGCCUUCGGGUUGUAAAGCACUUUUGGCAGGGAAGAAACAGCCUGGGCUAAUAUCCCGGGCGACUGACGGUACCUGCAGAAUAAGCACCGGCUAACUACGUGCCAGCAGCCGCGGUAAUACGUAGGGUGCAAGCGUUGAUCGGAAUUACUGGGCGUAAAGCGUGCGCAGGCGGUUCGGAAAGAAAGGUGUGAAAUCCCAGGGCUUAACCUUGGAACUGCACUUUUAACUACCGGGCUAGAGUACGUCAGAGGGGGGUAGAAUUCCACGUGUAGCAGUGAAAUGCGUAGAGAUGUGGAGGAAUACCGAUGGCGAAGGCAGCCCCCUGGGAUGAUACUGACGCUCAUGCACGAAAGCGUGGGGAGCAAACA
rnacentral:rRNA from 1 species